GACGAACGCUGGCGGCGUGCCUAAUACAUGCAAGUCGAACGCAGUGGGGACGGGUGAGUAACACGUGGGUAACCUCCCAUCAGAGGGGAUAACAUUUGGAAACAGGUGCUAAACUGAUACUGAUGGAUGGACCCGCGGUGCAUUAGUCAGUUGGUGAGGUAACGGCUCACCAAGGCCACGAUGCAUAGCCGGCCUGAGAGGGUGAUCGGCCACACUGGGACUGAGACACGGCCCAGACUCCUACGGGAGGCAGCAGUAGGGAAUCUUCGACAAUGGGCGAAAGUCUGACCGAGCAACGCCGCGUGAGUGAAGAAGGUUUUCGGGUCGUAAAGCACUGUUGGUAGGGAGGCGGUAUCUAACCAAAAAGCCACGGCUAACUACGUGCCAGCAGCCGCGGUAAUAC
rnacentral:rRNA from 1 species